AGUGAACGCUGGCGAUAGGCCUAACACAUGCAAGUCGAACGGCAGCACAGUAAGAGCUUGCUCUUACGGGUGGCGAGUGGCGGACGGGUGAGGAAUACAUCGGAAUCUACUUUUUCGUGGGGGAUAACGUAGGGAAACUUACGCUAAUACCGCAUACGACCUACGGGUGAAAGCAGGGGAUCUUCGGACCUUGCGCGAUUGAAUGAGCCGAUGUCGGAUUAGCUAGUUGGCGGGGUAAAGGCCCACCAAGGCGACGAUCCGUAGCUGGUCUGAGAGGAUGAUCAGCCACACUGGAACUGGGACACGGUCCAGACUCCUACGGGAGGCAGCAGUGGGGAAUAUUGGACAAUGGGCGCAAGCCUGAUCCAGCCAUACCGCGUGGGUGAAGAAGGCCUUCGGGUUGUAAAGCCCUUUUGUUGGGGAAGAAAAGCAGCAGGUUAAUACCCCGCUGUUCUGACGGUACCCAAAGAAUAAGCACCGGCUAACUUCGUG
rnacentral:rRNA from 1 species